rnacentral:rRNA from 1 species
UAGCGGCGGACGGGUGAGUAACAUGUGGGCAACCUGCCUGUAAGACUGGGAUAACUUCGGGAAAUCGAAGCUAAUACCGGAUAGGAUCUUCUCCUUCAUGGGAGAUGAUUGAAAGAUGGUUUCGGCUAUCACUUACAGAUGGGCCCGCGGUGCAUUAGCUAGUUGGUGAGGUAACGGCUCACCAAGGCAACGAUGCAUAGCCGACCUGAGAGGGUGAUCGGCCACACUGGGACUGAGACACGGCCCAGACUCCUACGGGAGGCAGCAGUAGGGAAUCUUCCGCAAUGGACGAAAGUCUGACGGAGCAACGCCGCGUGAGUGAUGAAGGCUUUCGGGUCGUAAAACUCUGUUGUUAGGGAAGAACAAGUACGAGAGUAACUGCUCGUACCUUGACGGUACCUAACCAGAAAGCCACGGCUAACUACGUGCCAGCAGCCGCGGUAAUACGUAGGUGGCAAGCGUUAUCCGGAAUUAUUGGGCGUAAAGCGCGCGCAGGCGGUUUCUUAAGUCUGAUGUGAAAGCCCACGGAUCAACCGUGGAGGGUCAUUGGAAACUGGGGAACUUGAGUGCAGAAGAGAAAAGCGGAAUUCCACGUGUAGCGGUGAAAUGCGUAGAGAUGUGGAGGAACACCAGUGGCGAAGGCGGCUUUUUUGGUCUGUAACUGACGCUGAGGCGCGAAAGCGUGGGGAGCAAACAGGAUUUAGAUACCCUGGUAGUCCACGCCGUAAACGAUGAGUGCUAAGUGUUUAGAGGGUUUCCGCCCUUUUUAGUUGCUG